AUGUCCCACCAAUUUAUUUCCACUCAGUUCCUUUCCCUAGGACUCAGCAAUGGGGUCCAGGCAAGAAUAGUCUGGUGGAUGCUGGUUCCCAGGUGCUUGGUCCAUGGGGCCAAGACCAGGGCGGGAGUUUCUCUGUUUCAGCCACAGGGCCUCAAGGAAGAGCCGGUACCAGAUGCGCACCCUGUUCCAAGCCUCUUUGUGCUGCCGUGUAGGGAGAGGCACGGUUAUGGAGUCACAGCUCCUCAGAGCAGCAAAGAUCGCGAGGGAGUCAAGGGAUGGAGCAGCCCCAGCUCCCUGCUGGGCUGGAGGAGGGUGGCGAGUUCUGCCCUUACGGAGACGCUAUGCACAACUGAUGAGGAAUUCUCAGCAUCAUUUGGGGCUCGUCCGGAAUGUGACUCAAGCAUACCCUUUCGAAAGCCUGGUGUUAUGGACUGCCUGUGCGUCCCCCCAAAAUGUGUAAGUCUUAAUCCUCAGUGCAACGGUCUUUGCAGGUGGGGUCCGUGGGAGGUAAUUAGGUCAUGAGGGUGGAGUCCUCAUGAAUGAGAUUAGUGUCCUCAUGAGAAGAGGCGUGAGUGAGAGCAUCUCUUGCUCUCUCUCUCCCUCUUGCUCCCUCUCUCUACCACGUGGGGCCACAACAAGAAGUCAGCUGUCUGAAAGCUGGAAAGAAGACCCUCACUAGGAGCCGGAUCUACCAGCAUCUUGACGGUGGGCUUCCAGCCUCCAGAACUGUGCGCAAACAACCUCCGCUGUUUAAGCCGCCCAGGCUGUGGUGUUUCGUGAGCUGACUGAGACCUAGUAAAAAGUUGGGGUGCCAUGCAAUAAGCAGAGUCCUUGCCUUGGCCCGCCUGGCUCCCACCAGGCCAGGCAAGCAUCCACACUUCCACCCAUCCCUCUUUACAGAGGGGCUGUUUAUCUGAGUAGCCACAGUGUUCUAGGCCCUGGGGAUGGAGCAGUGACCAAAACAGACAAAACUCCCAGCCCUCAGGGAGCUGAGCGCUGUUAGAGGAGUUAGAGGCAGAUAGGAUGGUAGGAAAACUCCACGUCCUCGUUGUGUUGGUAUCAGAAGGUGGUGAGUGUACUGGGGAAAAUACAGCAGAGAGGGCCUGGGAAUGUAGUGGGGCCUCGGGCCCUCACUGACCUGGAUCCUACCUCUCCCUGGCUCGAGCCUCCCUGGUUACCCCAUGGUCUCUCCCUGAUGCAUGGGAGCCUUUUCUGG
rnacentral:lncRNA from 1 species